rnacentral:rRNA from 1 species
UACGAAGGGGGCUAGCGUUGUUCGGAUUUACUGGGCGUAAAGCGCACGUAGGCGGAUCGAUCAGUCAGGGGUGAAAUCCUAGAGCUCAACUCUGGAACUGCCUUUGAUACUGUCGAUCUGGAGUAUGGAAGAGGUGAGUGGAAUUCCGAGUGUAGAGGUGAAAUUCGUAGAUAUUCGGAGGAACACCAGUGGCGAAGGCGGCUCACUGGUCCAUUACUGACGCUGAGGUGCGAAAGCGUGGGGAGCAAACAGG